rnacentral:rRNA from 1 species
GAUCAUGGCUCAGGAUGAACGCUGGCGGCGUGCCUAACACAUGCAAGUCGAACGGAGUAAUUAAGCGGAAGUUUCGGAUGGAAGCAUAGUACUUAGUGGCGGACGGGUGAGUAACGCGUGGGCAACCUGCCCUGUACCGGGGGAUAACACUUAGAAAUAGGUGCUAAUACCGCAUAAGCGCACAGCUUCGCAUGAAGGUGUGUGAAAAACUCCGGUGGUACAGGAUGGACCCGCGUCUGAUUAGCUAGUUGGUGGGGUAGAGGCCUACCAAGGCGACGAUCAGUAGCCGGCCUGAGAGGGUGACCGGCCACAUUGGGACUGAGACACGGCCCAAACUCCUACGGGAGGCAGCAGUGGGGAACAUUGCACAAUGGGGGAAACCCUGAUGCAAGCGACGCCGCGUGAGUGAAGAAGUAUUUCGGUAUGUAAAGCUCUAUCAGCAGGGAAGAAAAUGACGGUACCUGACUAAGAAGCCCCGGCUAACUACGUGCCAGCAGCGGC